rnacentral:rRNA from 1 species
AAUUUGGGACAAUGGGGGCAACCCUGAUACAGCCAGCCCGCGUGUUCGAUGAAGGNCUNNGGGUUNUNAAGCACUUUUGGCAGNNNNNAAAAGGCUCUGGCUAAUACCUGGAGCUGCUGACGGUACCUGCAGAAUAAGCACCGGCUAACUACGUGCCAGCAGCCGCGGUAAUACGUAGGGUGCAAUCGUUAAUCGGAAUUAUUGGGCGUAACGCGUGCGCAGGCGGUUCGGCAAGAAGGAUGUGAAAUCCCAGGGCUUAACCUUGGAACUGCAUUCUUAACUGCCGGGCUAGAGUAUGUCAGAGGGGGGUAGAAUUCCGCGUGUAGCAGUGAAAUGCGUAGAGAUGCGGAGGAAUACCGAUGGCGAAGGCAGCCCCCUGGGAUAAUACUGACGCUCAUGCACGAAAGCGUGGGGAGCAA